rfam:Brachypodium distachyon strain Bd21 chromosome 3, whole genome shotgun sequence.
UUGGUACUCCCUCCAACCCGUAUUACUUGUCACAGUUUUAUCUAGACAAGCAUGUAUCUAGAUGUGUUUCAUUGUGUAGGUACAUGCGUAUCUAGACAAAGCUGCGACAAGUAAUAUAGAUCGGAGGGAGUAUUAG